AGCACCUCAGUAUAGAUCCUCAAACAAAAGAACUCUCAAGACGUCACCUUAAUAGUAUUGAAGGGACAAUUCAUCUGCUGGAGCCUUUACAGCUAAAAACAGCUCAGAAAACUCCUGAGGAUGCCCAGAUCACACCCCAUCCCUGCCUGGAUGGAGCAGCCCUCACUGGUGCCAGGAUGGCUGCAGAACAACACCUGGAGCUGAACCCACUGUCCCAGGAACACCCAGCAGUGACGAGAUGCCAAUACACACCUGCACGGGCCGCACCAGUCCAUUUGUUGGUUGAGGCCAAAGCGAGCUCUGCAUUUCUUAGGAGAGGCAGGAUCUGAACACAGAAGCACAGAAGCACGCGGCGGAGAAUGGGCAAGGCAGAGGCACAAAGAGGAGGAGGAGCACGAGGAAGAAAAGAGGCAACAUCAUUUUAGCCACUUGAACACACGACUAACAGACUACAAUCCCAUUAUUGUCUGCUACAGAAUGGCGCUGGCACCACCUGGAAAAAAGUGAUCGGUAGGCAAGCAUCAGUGAUCACUGCUGGCAGCUGGAGGUGGUUUGGGAAACAGCUUUGAGAAAGGUGGACAGUUGAAGGGAAAUUCACAGCUCUUCAAAUUUCUUAAGUCUGGAAAAGCUGCCAAAUCCCGGAGGUGACUCCUGUAUCUGCAUCCUUAGCUGCUCCCUGCCUUUCCAGCAGCACUAUGCAGGCUGCCAGCAAGCUCGGACUAUGCACGGAGAAAAGAGGAGGAAAUGUUGCAGAAGCAGGCUGAAAGCAGAGUUAGCACCAAGGAGAGCUAGGCCCAGGUAUUCCACUCUGCCCCCAUCACAUCCCUUCCAGUUUUAAUAGAAAAACUGUUCUCCAUGGCCUUUCCUAAUCCACUGCUGUUUUACUGUAUAAUUACAGGACUCAUUAGGGUGAAGCCCAGUUUGCUUUCAGGCACAUCAUGUUUUUCUCUGGUGUUGUAAAUGAGAUUGGAACAGCACAGUUCUGUUCUGGAUUCAGCCUCUCUCUUUGAACCACCAUCAAUGUCUUGUUGCAUACAACCAGUAGUUAGUUCUCAAUCUGUAACAGGUGAAAUUAUCAUUUUUGCAUCACACAGACAAGACAUAUAUAUGGAUAUAUAAAAAUAUACAAUGCACUCUACAUAAAUGCCUAAAAGCUUGUAUUUCUCUUAUCAGACUCAGCACUGAAUGAGAUCAAAUGAGUUAAUUAAACUGAAGGUAUUACUGGGA